rnacentral:rRNA from 1 species
CGGCGGACGGGUGAGUAAUGUAUGGGGAUCUGCCUGAUGGCGGGGGAUAACUACUGGAAACGGUAGCUAAUACCGCAUAAUGUCUACGGACCAAAGCGGGGGACCUCCGGGCCUCGCGCCAUCAGAUGAACCCAUAUGGGAUUAGCUUGUAGGUAAGGUAACGGCUUACCUAGGCGACGAUCCCUAGCUGGUCUGAGGGGAUGAUCAGCCACACUGGGACUGAGACACGGCCCAG